UGGGGAAUUUUGCGCAAUGGGGGAAACCCUGACGCAGCGACGCCGCGUGGAGGAUGAAGGUCUUCGGAUUGUAAACUCCUUUUGUAGGGGAAAAUAAUGAUGGUACCCUACGAAUAAGCCACGGCUAACUCUGUG
rnacentral:rRNA from 1 species